rfam:Oryza glumipatula chromosome 9, whole genome shotgun sequence.
AAUAAGUGCAGUCAUAAGUUUCCACGUCCAAUUUUGAUCGUUCGUCUUAUUUGAAAUUUUUUUAUAAUUAGCAUUUUUGUUGUUAUGAGAUGAUAAAAUAUAAAAAGUACUUUACUCGUGACUUAUGUUUUUAUUUUUUUUCAAAAUAUUUUCAAAUAAGACGAACGGUUAAAGUUGGACACGAAAAACCAUAGCUACACUUAUU